CAAAUCCAACUGCAACCGUCUGGGGCCGACCUGAUUAAUCCUGGAUCCUCAAUGAAGGUGUCUUGCAAGGUUCCUGGCUACAGUUUCACUAGCUACUAUAUGACCUGGGUAAAAGAGAGUCCUGGACAGGGUCUAGAAUAGAUUAGAGAAACCACCCUAGUAGUUGCAGUAUAAGUUAUGCACAGAAGUUUCAAGGACACAUCUCCAUGACUAGGCACAUAUCCUCCAGCAUGGCCUACAUGGAGCUCAGCAGGCUGACCUCUGAGGACACUUCUGUUUAUUGCUGUUUAU